rnacentral:rRNA from 1 species
AUGAAGAUGUUGUUAGAGUGGAACAACAACCUUAUGUUAAAAGGGGACAAAAACGGAAGUACACCUCUUCACUUUGCUGUUAUCGGUACUCUACGGCAAAUAUGUUCACAAUUAUUGAUAGCCAGUCCAGAUGCAUUGUAUGAACAUGACCACAAUGGAUCAUUUCCCACACACGUGGCUGCCUCCGUCGGUGCAACACGGGUCAUCACUGAUUUUGUUAUGAAGUCACCCAAUUGUGCUGGUUUGCUCGAUGCUAGGGGAAGGACAUUUCUUCAUGUUGCAGUUGAUAGAAUGGAUAUAGGGACUGUCGAUUAUGCUUGUCGAAACAUAUCAUUGUCAUGGAUUUUGAAUAUGCAAGACAAAGAUGGGAACACUGGACUACACCUAGCUAUAAGAAAAGGAAGUCUACGAAUGUUUUGUUCUUUACUUGGUAAUAGAAAAGUACAAUUGCAUUUAAUGAACGAGAAAGGGGAGACUGCGCUAGAUACAGCGCGUCACGCUAUUCCUGGAGGACUAUAUAUGCAAGGGGAAAAUGAAGUACAGAUACUCAAAGCACUCAAAUAUGUCAGUGCUAAAAGGGGUAUUGUUCACCAGGGAUUCUUGGAUGAAUUUGAUAUUGACCAAUCAAGACAGGAAGAAAUACAUAUGAUGAGUCAAGUGAAAGAGGGAACACAAAGUCUUUGUAUCGGCUCGGUCUUAAUUGCAACUGUAACCUUUGGUGCAACUUUCACUAUGCCUGGAGGUCUUAGAGCUGAUGAUCACACUAAUGCAGGCUCACCAACACUUGCUGGAACAUUUUAUUUUUAUGCAUUCAUCGUGGCCAACACAAUUGCCUUCACCCUCUCGGUCAUGGCUACAAUUUCUUACAUAAUUUCUGGGACUCCUGCGGUACAUCCUCGAAGACGAGAAGUGCUAUUUAAAAGGGCCACCCCUCUCAUGUUGAUUUCAGUGUCAAGCAUGGUGGCUGCCUUUGCACUUGGUACCUAUAUGAUGUUAGCUCCAAUUGCUCCUGUGCCUCCACUUGCAAUAUUUCUCAUCUUUAUUCUCAUAUUCACGUAUCACUCUUGGGAAAUGAUAAUCAGCGAUAUUGUUCUCUUCACAGCACUCUGUAGGAGAAAGGGGAUAUGGUACGGAAUAGUCUGGGCAUAUCCAUUUGCAUUCUUUCUCGUGGUCCUUAUUCCGUCUUCUCUAUUGUUGGCCUUUAAGUUGGCCCAGGUGAGUCACACCGGUGGCAAAGUGGAACCACCAGCACAACCGCCAACACCAUUUGCUUGA